rnacentral:rRNA from 1 species
UACGAAGGGGGCUAGCGUUGUUCGGAAUUACUGGGCGUAAAGCGCGCGCAGGCGGUCUUCCAAGUCAGUGGUGAAAGCCCGGAGCUCAACUCCGGAACUGCCAUUGAAACUGUUAGACUUGAGGAUGAGAGAGGUGAGUGGAAUUCCCAGUGUAGAGGUGAAAAUUCGUAGAUAUUGGGAAGAACACCGGUGGCGAAGGCGGCUCACUGGCUCAUUACUGACGCUCAGGCGCGAUAGCGUGGGGGAUCAAAACAGG